rnacentral:miRNA from 14 species
UUUAAAUUACAUGUAUGUAUAUAUGUAUACACACAUACAUAUGUAUCAUACAUAAAUAUGUGUGUAUGUGUAUAAAGAUAUCACAUGUAUAUA